rnacentral:rRNA from 1 species
UACGAGUGCCCCAAGCGUUAUCCGGAAUCAUUGGGCGUAAAGGGUGUGUAGGUGGCGAUGUUAGUCUUCUGUUAAAUUCUUCGGCUUAACCGGGGUCUUGCAGGGGAAACGGCAUUGCUCGAGGAUGCGAGGGGCCAGUGGAACUCUAGGAGUAGGGGUGAAAUCCGUUGAUAUCUAGGGGAACACCAAAAGCGAAGGCAACUGGCUGGCGCAUUCCUGACACUGAGACACGGAAAGCGUGGGGUAGCCGAACGGG